rnacentral:misc_RNA from 1 species
UACGUAGGGGGCAAGCGUUGUCCGGAAUUAUUGGGCGUAAAGGGCACGCAGGCGGUUCCUUAAGUCUGAUGUGAAAGCCCGUGGCUCAACCACGGAGGGCCAUUGGAAACUGGGGAACUUGAGAACUGAAGAGGAGAGUGGAAUUCCACGUGUAGCGGUGAAAUGCGUAGAUAUCACGAAGAACACCGGUGGCGAAGGCGGCCAACUGGUCUGUAACUGACACUGAGGCGCGAAAGCGUGGGGAGCGAACAGG